GGCGUGUAGCGCCUGGGCGUCCCAUGUGAAAGACACGGCUCAACCGUGGGGGAGCGUGGGAUACGCUCAGGCUAGACGGUGGGAGAGGGUGGUGGAAUUCCCGGAGUAGCGGUGAAAUGCGCAGAUACCGGGAGGAACGCCGAUGGCGAAGGCAGCCACCUGGUCCACCCGUGACGCUGAGGCGCGAAAGCGUGGGGAGCAAACCGGAUUAGAUACCCGGGUAGUCCACGCCCUAAACGAUGCGCGCUAGGUCUCUGGGUCUCCUGGGGGCCGAAGCUAACGCGUUAAGCGCGCCGCCUGGGGAGUACGGCCGCAAGGCUGAAACUCAAAGGAAUUGACGGGGGCCCGCACAAGCGGUGGAGCAUGUGGUUUAAUUCGAAGCAACGCGAAGAACCUUACCAGGCCUUGACAUGCUAGGGAACCCGGGUGAAAGCCUGGGGUGCCCCGCGAGGGGAGCCCUAGCACAGGUGCUGCAUGGCCGUCGUCAGCUCGUGCCGUGAGGUGUUGGGUUAAGUCCCGCAACGAGCGCAACCCCCGCCGUUAGUUGCCAGCGGGUGAGGCCGGGCACUCUAACGGGACUGCCCGCGAAAGCGGGAGGAAGGAGGGGACGACGUCUGGUCAGCAUGGCCCUUACGGCCUGGGCGACACACGUGCUACAAUGCCCACUACAAAGCGAUGCCACCCGGCAACGGGGAGCUAAUCGCAAAAAGGUGGGCCCAGUUCGGAUUGGGGUCUGCAACCCGACCCCAUGAAGCCGGAAUCGCUAGUAAUCGCGGAUCAGCCAUGCCGCGGUGAAUACGUUCCCGGGCCUUGUACACACCGCCCGUCACGCCAUGGGAGCGGGCUCUA
rnacentral:rRNA from 1 species